ensembl:lncRNA LINC02367 long intergenic non-protein coding RNA 2367
AGCUAAAGUGCCCAAGGAAAUGGAACAGCAGGGAGAGGGGACAUCACACACACCACCAAAACCUCUUCUUCAUCAUGGCCUAUGAACAGCCAAAGGGUAAAAUGAUCAGAAAACUGGACAGUUUUUGACAGUCUGUAAGUAACUACUGUGGCCUACUCAACUGCCUGGCCUUUUGAAAAGCACACUUAGAAGCUGGUGAUGUCCAUGGGACCACAUACCGGGAAAUGACAGAGACUAUUUUCAGAGAAGAGAAUGUCCCAGCUAGAAAUGCAAGUGGACGAGUGCCAACCCGAUGAGGCCAAUGAUUUGCGAGUGGAGACCUCUGAGGAACUUGGUAAAGAAAGCAGGGCUUUGGCCUUCGCCCGGGAGGCUUGGGACCCCUGACCACCCCCUGCCCCAUCACCAAUAAACAGACAGGAAGGAGGAAUUCAGGGACAGCCUUCAGAAAGGAGUGGCUAUCCACUGGCCACAGCGAUGACUAAAGAGAGGUUCAUGCCACAGCAGAACACAAACGGCGCCAAAGCUGUCUAAAGCAGACACUGAGUUUAUUAUUUGCUGAAGAAGGGGAGUGACCCAUUUCAUUAAGAAAGGUCAGAACAGCUCUCCAAACUGAAGGUAAACAGGACGGACACACUGUGGAAAAGAGGACAUUUUGUUUAAAGGUCUGAUUGGCUUAAUUGUAAACUCUCUUGAGGGAGUGGCUGCUGUUCUGGUUGUGUGUCACAGAGACUUGAGAACAGCUCGCAGGAGAUCCUGGAUGAUCUGACCUGUGGUGCACGGCCCUGGCAGCCUGGUGUCUGUGCCUCCUCUCGUUGAGAUGAGAUUUUUCUCUGGCACCCACUUGGGUUAAGAGUGAGAAGCCCUGGGGCCCAUGGGCCUGCUGCAUGACUCUGUACCCAUCACCUGGCACAUAUGCAGACUUCCUGGUCACAGGGAUGAGGAAACCACAUGAAAAGCAGUUGGAGAAAUUUGUUACCAUGCAGCCAUCCUAUUUUCUAAACAGGAAAACUGAGUUGCAGAGAGCGAAGCCCCAGUAAGUUGGAGGAUAGAUGAUUAAAAUGCUGCUGAAUAAGGGAGAAAAAGGCAAACUGGAAAGACCUAACCCCAAAUUAGUCAUGUCCAAAUCCUGGUAGGAAGAUUACAAGAGAUUUUUAUUUUCUCUCCUGUA